GAUGAGACUAUCUGCUUAAUCAGAUAAUCUACUUUCUCAUUGCUCUCUAUUUUCAUAUACUCAGAGACUCAUUUCAGAUUCAUAUUAUAUUGUCUGAGAAGCUCAUGACAGCAGCUGUAGACUCAGUUUGAGAAGACUGCUGCACUGCUCUGUAUGUUUCAGAUGACUGAGAUAUUGUCAAGACAGAGUCAGAUCUGAAAGUUGAUUGUGAGAUGUAGUGACAGUGUGAAGAGUAACAGUAGAAGAUAGUUUAUAGUAUAGCAGAGAUAAUAGUAAUAUAUUGUAGAGUGUAGUAUAGUAGCAUAACAUAGUGUAGCUAAUUGCUAAGAAAGAAAAGAAAGAGAAAGAAGAUGUGCGAAAUACAUACAUAAAUAUAUAUAUACAUAUAGAAAUAGCAGUAGUGAGAGUAUAAUGGAAAGAGAUAAGAAUAAGCAA
rnacentral:sRNA from 1 species